UCGUAACAAGGUUUCCGUAGGUGAACCUGCGGAAGGAUC
rnacentral:rRNA from 3 species